rnacentral:tRNA from 1 species
GUCCGAGUCGUCUAGAGGUUAGGCCAACGCGUUGUGGCUGUGUAGACCCAGGUUCAAUUCCCGGUUCGGCCA